CGCUGGCGGCGUGCCUAAUACAUGCAAGUCGAACGGUCUUUCUAUGGAAGCUUGCUUCCACUGAGAAGAUAGUGGCGAACGGGUGAGUAACACGUGGGUAACCUGCCCAUAAGAGGGGGAGUAACAUCCGGAAACGGGUGCUAAUACCGCAUAGUUUUUCUUGAUCGCAUGAUUGAGAAAGGAAAGACGGCCUUUGUGCUGUCGCUUAUGGAUGGACCCGCGGCGUAUUAGUUAGUUGGUGAGGUAACGGCUCACCAAGACGAUGAUACGUAGCCGACCUGAGAGGGUGAUCGGCCACAUUGGGACUGAGACACGGCCCAAACUCCUACGGGAGGCAGCAGUAGGGAAUCUUCCGCAAUGGACGAAAGUCUGACGGAGCAACGCCGCGUGAGUGAAGAAAAGGUUUUCGGAUCGUAAAACUCUGUUGUCAGAGAAGAACAAGUUGGAGAGUAACUGCUCCAGCCUUGACGGUAUCUGACCAGAAAGCCACGGCUAACUACGUGCCAGCCGCUGC
rnacentral:rRNA from 1 species